GUUCUGCGUAGAGAGGGGUUGUGACUUUACCUCUUAUGCAAGCCUGAACCUGGAGGGCACCCAUCCUGUGGGGAUGCAGUGUUCCAGAAAGGCUGUCUACAGAUGCACCCAGGCAGAACUCCCAUGGGAGAAGUCAGAGCUUUGUCUGCAGUGGAAUGGCAGUCCCUCAGGGCCAGACUACUGUGAAUCCUGCUGCUUUUCUGGAUCUAGUUACCCACUGGAGCUGCCAGACUCCAUGCUGGUGCUGGAGAAUGUUUGCAAGGGAUCUAGUGAUGUGACCUGUCCUCUAGUCUUCCAGCGGUGGGUACCAGCAGCAGCUGAUGAGAGUGAUAGAACACAAAGAUCGGCCAGGCACGGAGGCUCACCCUGUAAUCCCAGCACUUUGGGAGGCCGAGGAGGGUGGAUCACCUGAGGUGGAGAAGCAGGAUGAAGCAAAUACAUCUAAUACUUCCUCAUUCACUCUACGUUUGCAUAUUUGUAUCAAUUUCAAAUGAAAUUGCAACUAUAAUCUGCCUAUGUUACAAGAUCAGAGUAAAUUCCCUAUAGCAAAAUAAUCAAAGCAAAAAACAAAAAACAAAUGCACACAUGAGGAACUCAACAAAAAGAGCUGAAUUAGAGCUUUUCAGCACACACUCCGAAAAACAUAAACACAAAGCAACCACAGGCAGGCUAUAAAUUGUCCUGAGUUACACAAUGGAGUGAUAAGACAGAGAUGACCUGGAAGAUGUGAGCUGGCGGGACUGUCUGAGAUUGAUUAGUUGGCUGCCUUAAUGCACAGGUAAUAGGAUGCCUUUCAGCUCCAGUCUGCCUAUUUUAGUCCAAAUUUGUUUUCCCUCCUGCCUUAAAAAUUAGAAGAGUCCCUGUCACUUCAGUUCUGCAAUUAUAUGGAAGCUCAUUCAUCUCACAAUACUCCAAAAUACACAAAUGCCAUCCUUUUUUUGCUAUGCAACACAAAAUGCAGUGCUCUUUUAUCUAAUGCCAUCAACACGCAAUCUCACAACGUACUUCU
rnacentral:lncRNA from 1 species